CCUGCCGUCAACCAGAACGGUCGUUUUUAACUUUAGUACGAAUCCUUUAUUUUUUUUUCCACGACAGUCUAUGUUGAAAAACAUGGCUGACUCAGAAAACGGACCCCCGGUGUGUUCCGGGUCACAAAACACAAUCUGGUAAUAUGUUUUUAAAAUUUAAUUUAUAUUUGCUUUACAAUUAUACAAUUAACAAUGUUAAAGUACAACUUUAUUUUAAUAAUAAUUAUAUAGAAGAGUGAGUAAUGAUUUUAUACAUGUCAACUUGGUAGUAAUUAAAUAAUGAUGGACAAUAUUACUAAUAGUGAUUUAUCUACACACACGCACAAUACUCUAGUCAGUGUAUACAACUGACGCUUCUUAUUUUUUUUUUUAAAAAAAAUCUUAUAUUAACAUUUACAGUGGGUCAAAAAAGACUCCGUACACUGAUGUUAGAUUUUUUCCAUUACACAUAAUGAUAAUUAAAAAGUUGAAUAACUGUAUAUUUUCUACGACAAUUUAUUAGUAAACACAUGCAAAUUAUGUUUUUAGAAAAAUAAAGCAUAUAUAUAUUAAUUAUUUUAUUAUUUACUUGUAUAUUUAUAAAUAAAUGUAGAAAAAAACACAAAAAAAAAGGUUUCCGUACACAAUACGAAUAUUUGAUAAAAAUAGUGUUGAGUUGGGAAAAACUCGUGAUAUUGAGAGUUCUAUCAUAAAUUGAGACAAUAAUAUAGUCUGGCAAUAUAAUCUGACGAUAAAACCCGGUGAGCAUGAUCAGCGCGACAGUAGGUACGUACCUAGCCAUCAGUCGUACUGUAAGUUUUAUUCAUUUAUUUACAUUAAACAAUGGAAAUACCGAUUGUUGUUCGUAAAAUAGUAGUUCAACAAAGAGAAGAUGGGAAUUCUCUCAGAAUCAAAUCAAAAUACUACGGCCAUUCUAAGGACAAUUGUGAUGGAACCAAAAUCCAGUGCACCCAAACUGGCAGGUAUGAUUGACACUGACUAUAAUAUAAAAGUUGUGCCACAGAUCAUUCAUAAUGUAUUAAGAAACGCAAGAUAUAACUGAUAGAACAAGAUAUAAUAUAUAUAUGCUUUAUUUUUCUAAAAACAUAAUUUUCAUGUGUACAUACAUCAUCAUUUUCAUACUAAUAAAUUGUCGUAAAAAAUAUAAAGUUAUUCAAUUAUUUAAUUAUCAUUAUGCGUAAUGGGAAAAAUCUAACAUCCGUGUACGGAGACUUUUUUGACCCACUGUAUAUAUUAAGAUAAUUUAAAAAUUUAAUAAUAAGACAUCUUAAAUACUAAACAAUUUAUAUUAGUUAUAAAUUCAAUUUAUUUGAUUUUUUAAUAAAUGACCC